GAUGAACGCUGGCGGCGUGCCUAAUACAUGCAAGUCGAGCGAACGGGCGAGAAGCUUGCUUCUCUGAUGUUAGCGGCGGACGGGUGAGUAACACGUGGAUAACCUACCUAUAAGACUGGGAUAACUUCGGGAAACCGGAGCUAAUACCGGAUAAUAUUUUGAACCGCAUGGUUCAAAAGUGAAAGACGGUCUUGCUGUCACUUAUAGAUGGAUCCGCGCUGCAUUAGCUAGUUGGUAAGGUAACGGCUUACCAAGGCAACGAUGCAUAGCCGACCUGAGAGGGUGAUCGGCCACACUGGAACUGAGACACGGUCCAGACUCCUACGGGAGGCAGCGGUAGGGAAUCUUCCGCAAUGGGCGAAAGCCUGACGGAGCAACGCCGCGUGAGUGAUGAAGGUCUUCGGAUCGUAAAACUCUGUUAUUAGGGAAGAACAUAUGUGUAAGUAACUGUGCACAUCUUGACGGUACCUAAUCAGAAAGCCACGGCUAACUACGUG
rnacentral:rRNA from 1 species